UACGUAGGGGGCAAGCGUUGUCCGGAUUUACUGGGCGUAAAGGGCGCGUAGGCGGCCACCGCAAGUCGGUUGUGAAAUCUCCGGGCUUAACCCGGAAAGGUCAACUGAUACUGCGGGGCUAGAGUGCAGAAGGGGCAACUGGAAUUCUCGGUGUAGCGGUGAAAAUGCGUAGAUAUCUGGAGGAACACCCGUGGUGCAGACGGCUUGCUGGACCGUGACUGACGCUGAGGCACAAAGCGUGGGGUAGC
rnacentral:rRNA from 1 species